rnacentral:lncRNA from 1 species
CCAAAUAUGACUAAGGAUAAUUUUGGAAUAGAUUACACUUUUUUGUCAAGAUUAUUGAAUUUUAUAUACUGAACCAAAUAUAGUAAUACUAUAAACAUUGUAAUCCAGCAUUACAUUACUGCAUUAAACCAAACGUGCUAAUGCAAUAUCAGUAGUAAUUUCAUUUAGAAAUCCAAAAUAUCUGUAUAUAUCGAAAUACUAUGUAAUAUUAUAUAACUCAAACCAAACGUGCCCUAAAUGUAAUGAUUAUCAGUUGGAUUUAAAUACAUUCAAAUAAAUACUUAAUUUGAAUCCGUACAUAGUUAUAAUUGCAGUAUACUUGCCAUCUGUAUUUGUAUAUAGUUAUAAU